UUCUCACUCUUUUUCAGAGCCAAUGCUCACAAUCCUUAACACAAGCCCACGUGUAGCCAGGAGCAGGCUGAUGCAUUCUUCAGUUUAGCUUGAACAAACAGCCCUUGCGGGCUGGCAAAGGCAAGUCCCAGAGCUGCAGAGAGCAGCAGCAGGAAUGGAGGCCAAGCUUUGCCAGGUUCCUGAAGAGGGAGGACCUUGAGAAUGAGGCGCGGGACUGACCAUGCACCAAAGAAGAGCCCUGUUACGAAUUCCUGACCAAACCUGGGAAGAAGAAACAAAAUGCCAGAGAUGAGAUGACUGAAUGCAACAAGAAGACACAGCAGAGAUGACGGAGGAAAACAGCAAGAGGGGAAGGAGAGGAGGAGCAGAGGACAGGUAAGCAAACAAGAUCCUUGAAUCUCACCCCAUCCGAGGAGUGAUAGAAGGGUUCCCAAAGCCCAGAUUCUGAAUAAAAAGCAUACCUCGUAAGCUUCUCUCUCCACGUCUCUAAUUUGCUGCUCGGCCUCAGGUCUGCUCUGACAGUAGGCCACACUUCUCUGCCUCAUUUCAGCAUCUGGAUGCUUCAGAAGAAAUGUGUGAGCUGCUGCAAUAGCCUUUGCAAGGUUAUGAGCCUGAAGAGGGAUGGAAAAAGAGGAAGAGGGGGAAAAGCGUUAACGGGGGAAAAAAAAAAAAUCAAAGUUUCCCAGUUUUUUGUCAACAAAUUUUCCUGCAGCUUCUAGAUUCCCAGCUUACUUGUACUGAAGCCACGGUCUCGGCAGAUACAAUCGUACACUAGAUCUGAUACAAUUCUUCUCAGUUUUACUAACAGAUGCAUAAUGAGGAAAUUCUUUUUAAUGUUAAAAUCUGUUAUUGUUGCAGAUAGCAUAGGUGAUGACUUGAAGUUAACAGAAGAGCAUUUUUCCCCUCCACUUGCCCUGUUCAUGAAGCUGACAAGGCAGAAGCAUAUACUGUUGCUCCUGUGUGGGAUUAGUCUCACAGCAAUUACUGAGGCCAGCCUGUGACUGCUGACCAGGAGCCAUCACCGCCCGUGUUUACACGGCGUUCGUGUCACUUCUUGGCCCAGCAGCACGCAAGACAAUAUCCCGAUAACGUAUCUGCCUGAUGGUGUUACAGAGUUCGAGCAAACGGCAGGGACCUGUGUGUGAUCUGCCGCAACAGCUUUUGGAAGGUCGUGAGCCUAAACAGGGGUGGGAAGAAGAGGAAAGGAAAGGAAAAGUUAACUGGGAAAAAAAAAUCCACGUUUCCCACUUUCUGUCAACAAACUCUCCUGCAGCCUCUCUGUUCCCCAGCUGACAUCUAGGGAAGCCACAGUCUCAGCAGAUACAAUGUUACACUAGAACUGAUACAAAUCUUUCCUGUUUUCUUACUAGAGGAGCAUGUUUUCCUAGGAGCAUGUUUGUUUUAAUGUCAAAAUCUGUUAUUGUAGCAGAUCGCAUCAUAAUGAUUGUAAGUUCAAAAGACGACUUUUUCUCCCUUCCUCCCGUACUGCAUUUCUAGUAUUUACAGAGGGAGAGAGAAAGGAAAAGGCUGAAGUAUUUGUAAAAUGUUAAGAAACUCUUCCUUUUUUCAGGCAAGGUGCAGGUCCCACGGUGUCCUUUGGUCUCCGACGUUCUCCAGUGGCGUCCUGUGGUUUCCAGCGGCCUUCUUCAGUCUCCCACGGUCUCCUGCAAUCUCCGGCGGUCUCCAGCGGGCUUCUGUGUGCCUGCAUUUAUAGCUGUUAUUGUCUAUAUGUACAUAUUUUUCUAAACUCUAUUGUCUAUAGACACACGUAUCGGGAGAAAGGAGGGAGAAAACCCAAGUCUUCAUUAUUUGCUGAAAUGUGAAAACCUUUUUCCUUUUUAAACCAAGACACAGAGCCAAUGGUGUCCUGUGGUUUCUAGCGGUGUCCUUCGGUCUCCGACGGUCUCCUGCGGUCUCCGGUGGUCUCGUGUGGGCUUCUGUGUGCACACAUUUAUCGAUUUAAUUUUCUAUUUUUACAUGUCUUUAUAAACUAUACAGUCUGCAUACACGUAUAUAGGAGAGAAGGAGAGAAAAUUUGCCUCCGUUUUUAACGCAAACAUUUGUCCAAAGGUGUAAGAACCGUGUCUUUGAAUUCCCACAAUUCCUUCCAACAGACGUUUUAUUUACUUCAAAAGAACCACCUUCAGAGGAGGAAUCCCGCCACGGCACUAUGGGACGAGGAGCAGGAACAGAGGUGACACAGGACCCAUCUCACGUUUGUUUCCACAACUCUCCCCAAGCACAGGAUGUUUCGGAAAGAUGGACCCAAUUGGAAAUCACUCUGCGUGUGAAAUUGGGACCAUGUUUUUUGAAACACCCUGUAGUAUUGCUGGAGACACAUCCCCUGGUCCCUCUGCUUCCAAAUUUGCAUGAAGCCUUGUGUCGAGUCCCCAGCUCCAUUCAAGAGAGUCUGGUUAGGCACUGGCAAAACCAGUGUUCGUCCUGUACCAUGUAUGAAUCAAAAUUUGUCGCACACCAUUUUCCCCUUGUAAAAGAAAGGCAAACGAAUAUCCAAAAAAAUCCCCAAACGUAUGAAAAUGACCAACCGUACAUCAGUAAAAAGAAAUCAAAAUUCAAUAAAGAACACUGAUGGUCAACAGAAAACGAAGGGACAAUCCACCGGGUGCUGAUCCAGUGCUCUUUCCCGUGCUGUACUCUUUGCAUUUCACUAGUGGCUUCGCGGUUGUUCCUGUCACCUGCCUGCGCUGACUGGCACAGUCCCUGUCACUGCCCCAGCUGGCACUUCAUCCCCCUCUGCUGCCGGAUGGCACAGCAGCCCUGCAGCUCCGCAGCGAGUCAAGCCCAGCGUUGCAUCUCCCUGCCCUGGUCACGGCGAAGGGCUCCUGUGCCCAGCCCGGCAGGGCAGCGGCAUCAGGUGCUUGCAAAGGUUGCAUUUCACUCCGGGAGCCGAAAGCCGAGUUGUUGGGAGUGACCUGGGAACUCGGCUCGUUUGAGAGCCCAGCCUGCAGCCCCGGGACAGCAGCAGCUGUCUGUCCCUCCUCUGAGAGGCGGGGGCAUUUCUGGAGGGAGCGUCACCCUCCGAGGCAGAGGACAGAGCUUAUGAAGGCUCGGUGCUUCUGGACUCUGACCCGCCACAGGACGUGCAAUGGCCGUGGAAGUGGAAACACCGAUUUUCUUUAGUGCUGUAGUGUGAAGAAUGCAAAACGUGUUUGAAGAGACAGUGCUUUUUUGGCUCCAAGCCAAUUCUAGGGAUGUUCAAGCGUUUCCGGAAACGGGUGUUCUUGCAACAACCUUCUUGUGAAUUAAUGAGAAAAUAGGGUGGGAAAAAAAUCAGCACAUCAAGUAGCUGUGACACACAGCACGGAAAAGUCUCCACCGGCCAGCCCACGCACAAGAAAAAGCCCGAUGGAAGGGCGGGGUGGCACAUCGGGGCCACCGGGCUGUCGGCAGCGGUUGUAGCGGCGGCAGCUCCAGGAGGCUGCCCGGCUGGAGAAGAAGGGACAGGGGGCGGGAAGAGUUUCUCGUCCAACUCUCUCUCGGGAGCAGCCAAACCGCGCGACUCCCGCUCGUUCCCGCGUUUACGGGAACACGGGGCGGGGCCGAGGAGCGACGGCUCCGCCAUCCGCUCGUCGGGGCUGCUGGGUCGGUCUUUGCGGGAGGCGGCUCUCCCGGUGCCCGGGCGGGGCUGCGCUGGGGUCCGUCUUGUGCCCGGCGGGCGGGCGGGGAGGGCGAGGCCGCUUGUGGGCACGCGUGGGUGCGCGGCCGGCGCCGCCGCUUGGCGGGCAGCUGGAGCGGGGGCAGCGGGUGUGUCCGCCGGGUCCGGCGGUGUCGGACGGUACGGAAAAAUGCCGUAGAAGAUGGUUGAGACUUUGCUGUAGUGUGAAGAAUGCAAAACGUGUUUGAAGAGACAGGGCUUUUGUGGCUCCAAGCCACUUCUAUGGAUGGUCAAGCGUUUCCAGAAAUCCUUCUUGCAACAGCCCUCUUGUGAGUCACAGACUUAGCCAAUGCUCACAAUCCUUAACACAAGCCCACGUGUAGCCAGGAGCAGGCUGAUGCAUUCUUCAGUUUAGCUCGAACAAACAGCCCUUGCGGGCUGGCAAAGGCAAGUCCCAGAGCUGCAGAGAGCAGCAGCAGGAAUGGAGGCCAAGCUUUGCCAGGUUCCUGAAGAGGGAGGACCUUGAGAAUGAGGCGCGGGACUGACCAUGCACCAAAGAAGAGCCCUGUUACGAAUUCCUGACCAAACCUGGGAAGAAGAAACAAAAUGCCAGAGAUGAGAUGACUGAAUGCAACAAGAAGACACAGCAGAGAUGACGGAGGAAAACAGCAAGAGGGGAAGGAGAGGAGGAGCAGAGGACAGGUAAGCAAACAAGAUCCUUGAAUCUCACCCCAUCCGAGGAGUGAUAGAAGGGUUCCCAAAGCCCAGAUUCUGAAUAAAAAGCAUACCUCGUAAGCUUCUCUCUCCACGUCUCUAAUUUGCUGCUCGGCCUCAGGUCUGCUCUGACAGUAGGCCACACUUCUCUGCCUCAUUUCAGCAUCUGGAUGCUUCAGAAGAAAUGUGUGAGCUGCUGCAAUAGCCUUUGCAAGGUUAUGAGCCUGAAGAGGGAUGGGAAAAAGAGGAAGAGGGGGAAAAGCGUUAACGGGGGAAAAAAAAAAAUCAAAGUUUCCCAGUUUUUGUCAACAAAUUUUCCUGCAGCUUCUAGAUUCCCAGCUUACUUGUACUGAAGCCACGGUCUCGGCAGAUACAAUCGUACACUAGAUCUGAUACAAUUCUUCUCAGUUUUACUAACAGAUGCAUAAUGAGGAAAUUCUUUUUAAUGUUAAAAUCUGUUAUUGUUGCAGAUAGCAUAGGUGAUGACUUGAAGUUAACAGAAGAGCAUUUUUCCCCUCCACUUGCCCUGUUCAUGAAGCUGACAAGGCAGAAGCAUAUACUGUUGCUCCUGUGUGGGAUUAGUCUCACAGCAAUUACUGAGGCCAGCCUGUGACUGCUGACCAGGAGCCAUCACCGCCCGUGUUUACACGGCGUUCGUGUCACUUCUUGGCCCAGCAGCACGCAAGACAAUAUCCCGAUAACGUAUCUGCCUGAUGGUGUUACAGAGUUCGAGCAAACGGCAGGGACCUGUGUGUGAUCUGCCGCAACAGCUUUUGGAAGGUCGUGAGCCUAAACAGGGGUGGGAAGAAGAGGAAAGGGAAAGGAAAAGUUAACUGGGAAAAAAAAAUCCACGUUUCCCACUUUCUGUCAACAAACUCUCCUGCAGCCUCUCUGUUCCCCAGCUGACAUCUAGGGAAGCCACAGUCUCAGCAGAUACAAUGUUACACUAGAACUGAUACAAAUCUUUCCUGUUUUCUUACUAGAGGAGCAUGUUUUCCUAGGAGCAUGUUUGUUUUAAUGUCAAAAUCUGUUAUUGUAGCAGAUCGCAUCAUAAUGAUUGUAAGUUCAAAAGACGACUUUUUCUCCCUUCCUCCCGUACUGCAUUUCUAGUAUUUACAGAGGGAGAGAGAAAGGAAAAGGCUGAAGUAUUUGUAAAAUGUUAAGAAACUCUUCCUUUUUUCAGGCAAGGUGCAGGUCCCACGGUGUCCUUUGGUCUCCGACGUUCUCCAGUGGCGUCCUGUGGUUUCCAGCGGCCUUCUUCAGUCUCCCACGGUCUCCUGCAAUCUCCGGCGGUCUCCAGCGGGCUUCUGUGUGCAUGCAUUUAUAGCUGUUAUUGUCUGUAUGUACAUAUUUUUCUAAACUCUAUUGUCCAUAGACACACGUAUAGGGAGAAGGAGGGAGAAAACCCAAGUCUUCAUUAUUUGCUGAAAUGUGAAAACCUUUUUCCUUUUUAAACCAAGACACAGAGCCAAUGGUGUCCUGUGGUUUCUAGCGGUGUCCUUCGGUCUCCGACGGUCUCCUGCGGUCUCCGGUGGUCUCGUGUGGGCUUCUGUGUGCACACAUUUAUCGAUUUAAUUUUCUAUUUUUACAUGUCUUUAUAAACUAUACAGUCUGCAUACACGUAUAUAGGGAGAAGGAGAGAAAAUUUGCCUCCGUUUUUAACGCAAACAUUUGUCCAAAGGUGUAAGAACCGUGUCUUUGAAUUCCCACAAUUCCUUCCAACAGACGUUUUAUUUACUUCAAAAGAACCACCUUCAGAGGAGGAAUCCCGCCACGGCACUAUGGGACGAGGAGCAGGAACAGAGGUGACACAGGACCCAUCUCACGUUUGUUUCCACAACUCUCCCCAAGCACAGGAUGUUUCGGAAAGAUGGACCCAAUUGGAAAUCACUCUGCGUGUGAAAUUGGGACCAUGUUUUUGAAACACCCUGUAGUAUUGCUGGAGACACAUCCCCUGGUCCCUCUGCUUCCAAAUUUGCAUGAAGCCUUGUGUCGAGUCCCCAGCUCCAUUCAAGAGAGUCUGGUUAGGCACUGGCAAAACCAGUGUUCGUCCUGUACCAUGUAUGAAUCAAAAUUUGUCGCACACCAUUUUCCCCUUGUAAAAGAAAGGAAAACGAAUAUCCAAAAAAUCCCCAAACGUAUGAAAAUGACCAACCGUACAUCAGUAAAAAGAAAUCAAUAAUUCAAUAAAGAACACUGAUGGUCAACAGAAAACGAAGGGACAAUCCACCGGGUGCUGAUCCAGUGCUCUUUCCCGUGCUGUACUCUUUGCAUUUCACUAGUGGCUUCGCGGUUGUUCCUGUCACCUGCCUGCGCUGACUGGCACAGUCCCUGUCACUGCCCCAGCUGGCACUUCAUCCCCCUCUGCUGCCGGAUGGCACAGCAGCCCUGCAGCUCCGCAGCGAGUCAAGCCCAGCGUUGCAUCUCCCUGCCCUGGUCACGGCGAAGGGCUCCUGUGCCCAGCCCGGCAGGGCAGCGGCAUCAGGUGCUUGCAAAGGUUGCAUUUCGCUCCAGGAGCCGAAAGCCGAGUUGUUGGGAGUGACCUGGGAACUCGGCUCGUUUGAGAGCCCAGCCUGCAGCCCCGGGACAGCAGCAGCUGUCUGUCCCUCCUCUGAGAGGCGGGGGCAUUUCUAGAGGGAGCGUCACCCUCCGAGGCAGAGGACAGAGCUUAUGAAGGCUCGGUGCUUCUGGACUCUGACCCGCCACAGGACGUGCAAUGGCCGUGGAAGUGGAAACACCGAUUUUCUUUAGUGCUGUAGUGUGAAGAAUGCAAAACGUGUUUGAAGAGACAGUGCUUUUUUGGCUCCAAGCCAAUUCUAGGGAUGUUCAAGCGUUUCCGGAAACGGGUGUUCUUGCAACAACCUUCUUGUGAGUUAAUGAGAAAAUAGGGUGGGAAAAAAAUCAGCACAUCAAGUAGCUGUGACACACAGCACGGAAAAGUCUCCACCGGCCAGCCCACGCACAAGAAAAAGCCCGAUGGAAGGGCGGGGUGGCACAUCGGGGCCACCGGGCUGUCGGCAGCGGUUGUAGCGGCGGCAGCUCCAGGAGGCUGCCCGGCUGGAGAAGAAGGGACAGGGGGCGGGAAGAGUUUCUCGUCCAACUCUCUCUCGGGAGCAGCCAAACCGCGCGACUCCCGCUCGUUCCCGCGUUUACGGGAACACGGGGCGGGGCCGAGGAGCGACGGCUCCGCCAUCCGCUCGUCGGGGCUGCUGGGUCGGUCUUUGCGGGAGGCGGCUCUCCCGGUGCCCGGGCGGGGCUGCGCUGGGGUCCGUCUUGUGCCCGGCGGGCGGGCGGGGAGGGCGAGGCCGCUUGUGGGCACGCGUGGGUGCGCGGCCGGCGCCGCCGCUUGGCGGGCAGCUGGAGCGGGGGCAGCGGGUGUGUCCGCCGGGUCCGGCGGUGUCGGACGGUACGGAAAAAUGCCGUAGAAGAUGGUUGAGACUUUGCUGUAGUGUGAAGAAUGCAAAACGUGUUUGAAGAGACAGGGCUUUUGUGGCUCCAAGCCACUUCUAUGGAUGGUCAAGCGUUUCCAGAAAUCCUUCUUGCAACAGCCCUCUUGUGAGUCACAGACUUAGCCAAUGCUCACAAUCCUUAACACAAGCCCACGUGUAGCCAGGAGCAGGCUGAUGCAUUCUUCAGUUUAGCUUGAACAAACAGCCCUUGCGGGCUGGCAAAGGCAAGUCCCAGAGCUGCAGAGAGCAGCAGCAGGAAUGGAGGCCAAGCUUUGCCAGGUUCCUGAAGAGGGAGGACCUUGAGAAUGAGGCGCGGGACUGACCAUGCACCAAAGAAGAGCCCUGUUACGAAUUCCUGACCAAACCUGGGAAGAAGAAACAAAAUGCCAGAGAUGAGAUUACUGAAUGCAACAAGAAGACACAACAGAGAUGACAGAGGAAAACAGCAAGAGGGGAAGGAGAGGAGGAGCAGAGGACAUGUAAGCAAACAAGAUCCUUGAAUCUCACCCCAUCCGAGGAGUGAUAGAAGGGUUCCCAAAGCCCAGAUUCUGAAUAAAAAGCAUACCUCGUAA